UAGGGAAUCUUCGGCAAUGGGGGGAACCCUGACCGAGCAACGCCGCGUGAGUGAAGAAGGUUUUCGGAUCGUAAAGCUCUGUUGUUAAGGAAGAACGAGUGUGAGAAUGGAAAGUUCAUACUGUGACGGUACUUAACCAGUAAGGGACGGCUAACUACGUGCCAGCAGCCGCGGUAAUACGUAGGUCCCGAGCGUUGUCCGGAUUUAUUGGGCGUAAAGCGAGCGCAGGCGGUUAGGUAAGUCUGAAGUUAAAGGCAGUGGCUCAACCAUUGUAGGCUUUGGAAACUGUUUAACUUGAGUGCAGAAGGGGGGGGUGGAAUUCCAUGUGUAGCGGUGGAAUGCGUAGAUAUAUGGAGGAACACCGGUGGCGAAAGCGGCUCUCUGGUCUGUAACUGACGCUGAGGCUCGAAAGCGUGGGGAGCGAACAGG
rnacentral:rRNA from 1 species